rnacentral:misc_RNA from 1 species
CACCCUUCAAGCGUCAGCUUGGUCUUGGGCGCUCGUCCCGCGAGGGACGUGCCCGAAAAUGAGUGGCGGUCCGGUCGAGACUUCGGGCGUAGUAAAAUUUUCUCUCGCUCUGGAAGACUUCUCCUCCGGCCGGCCAGGUCCCCGGACCACUCCAUUAUUUUACCACA